GAUGAAAUUCUGAAGGAUAUUUUUGUUUAAUUGUUGGGACUUUUAGUGGGCUAAGUGAGACAAAUGGACCAUCAUUUGGAAGGAGGGUCAUCAUUUUGGAGACCGGAGACCCUUGCCAAAUAUAGAUCAUGUGUUGUGAUGUUAGAUCUUGAAUGUGAUGAUCUUAAGUGAGCUGUUCAGGACGUUUUUCUCUGUAGCAAGGGAUGAUCACCCGAAAAACGUACUGUCAUCAAUGAAAACAAUUAUGCAUGUUCUUCUAGAUGAAAGUGAGGAUAUCCAUGAAGAUCUUCUGCUUAUUUUUCUCUCUACACUUGGACAGAAUAAAAAGGGUCCUAUCAGGGUAUAAGGUGAAAAGUAUUCGCUUUGUCCGAUUCGUGCAAGAAAAAUAUCUCCGUACUUGUGGAGACUGAUUAGUGAUUACCCAUUUUCCCACCAAUCAGCCUGCGAGUGUGAGAUGGAUAGUCUCGGAAUUUGAUUUCUCCAUCCCCCCCACAGGUUAUUCAUGUUUGAUGUUGAAUUAAGGUUUCCUAUCUAGAAUUUUGUGCCUAGGGACCUUUGACUUGUUAUUGAUAGCAUGGGAUAUUAAUGAGACUUUUAAAACUGGUAAUUGGUCAGGGGAAGUUGGGGGCCUGGGGCUGAUUUCAAAUCUUAUUCAAAUUGGUUGGUUCAACAGCUUUUUUGAGCGAUUCUGGUUCCGUUCAUGCACAAGAUAAGGGAAUGGUGAAGCUUCAUCAUGACUUGCGAUUGGGGGAUCAGGAUUUCUGAGAAGUCUAAGCCAAUGUUGAUAAAGUUGUUGACGAAGAUCUUUCAGGGUUUAACCUUAAGUUUGCUGACCUUUUUGGUUACGGUUCACUGGUUGAUGAGUCCGACCAGGUUAAACUGCUCAGUCACUGGAAAGAUCACACUGUCUGUUACCUUCUACGCUACUACCGGUGGAAUUUCUGCCGCAUUUAUAUCUGUCUUUUGGUCAUUUGGUUACCUUAGGCUAUGAGAGAAACUCCGCAAAACCGCAAAUGACCCGUCAAAGGUGGAGAAGAUGCAAGUAACAUGCAAAUGAAGGUGCCAUGACGACUACGUGGUGGCAUUUAUUGGUUUAUCUUGCCUGCUGGAUGUAGUUACACUUUUUUCAAACUGCUUUAUUAACCAAAUAAAGUCGUGAUCUUUAAUUCUUUUAUAUUGGGUUAAUAUUGGAUCCUUGGACGGAAUUGGGUUGCUUCAGACUUUCAUCUCACUCUUUGGGAAGUUUUAUUCUUCUUACAUGAUGUUCUGUUUGAAAUAUUUUUCCUGUUGUUUUGGACUUCGGCUCAUCAUUCUGGGGAAUGUCUUUAAUACUUGCAUCAACAAAUCUUUUGACUGCGAGAAUAACUACAUAUUUGUUUGUUGUAAAUACAAUUUUAUUUAGUUGGUUUUAGCAUAA